CGCUGGCGGCGUGCUUAACACAUGCAAGUCGAGCGAUGAAGUUUCUUCGGAAAUGGAUUAGCGGCGAACGGGUGAGGAACACGUGAAGAAUCUGCCCUCCACUUUGGGAUAACACCGGGAAACCGGUGCUAAUACUGAAUAUUGAAACAUAAGUGGCAUCACUGAGUUUUGAAAGAAUUUCGGUGGAGGAUGACUUCGCGGCCUAUCAGCUAGUUGGUGAGGUAAUGGCUCACCAAGGCAACGACGGGUAGCCGGCCUGAGAGGGCGACCGGCCACACUGGGACUGAGACACGGCCCAGACUCCUACGGGAGGCAGCAGUGGGGAAUAUUGGGCAAUGGAGGAAACUCUGACCCAGCGACGCCGCGUGCGGGAUGAAGGCCUUCGGGUUGUAAACCGCUUUCAGUAGGGAAGAAGCGAAAGUGACGGUACCUACAAAAGAAGCACCGGCUAACUACGUG
rnacentral:rRNA from 1 species